rnacentral:rRNA from 1 species
GAUGAACGCUGGCGGCGUGCCUAAUACAUGCAAGUCGAGCGAACAGAUAAGGAGCUUGCUCCUUUGACGUUAGCGGCGGACGGGUGAGUGACACGUGGGUAACCUACCUAUAAGACUGGGAUAACUUCGGGAAACCGGAGCUAAUACCGGAUAAUAUUUCGAACCGCAUGGUUCGAUAGUGAAAGAUGGUUUUGCUAUCACUUAUAGAUGGACCCGCGCCGUAUUAGCUAGUUGGUAAGGUAACGGCUUACCAAGGCGACGAUACGUAGCCGACCUGAGAGGGUGAUCGGCCACACUGGAACUGAGACACGGUCCAGACUCCUACGGGAGGCAGCAGUAGGGAAUCUUCCGCAAUGGGCGAAAGCCUGACGGAGCAACGCCGCGUGAGUGAUGAAGGUCUUCGGAUCGUAAAACUCUGUUAUUAGGGAAGAACAUACGUGUAAGUAACUGUGCACGUCUUGACGGUACCUAAUCAGAAAGCCACGGCUAACUACGUG